rnacentral:rRNA from 1 species
CGGCUACGGGGCGCAGUAGGGAAUCUUCCACAAUGGACGAAAGUCUGAUGGAGCGACGCCGCGUGAGUGAAGAAGGGUUUCGGCUCGUAAAGCUCUGUUGGUAGUGAAGAAAGAUAGAAGUAGUAACUGGCCUUUAUUUGACGGUAAUUACUUAGAAAGUCACGGCUAACUACGUGCCAGCAGCCGCGGUAAUACGUAGGUGGCAAGCGUUUUCCGGAUUUAUUGGGCGUAAAGCGAGUGCAGGCGGUUCCA